GGCCUGCCCUAUGAGUUUUAAAUGGCCGCGGUAAUUUGACCGUGCAAAGGUAGCAUAAUCAUUAGUUUUUUAAUUGAAAGCUGGAAUGAAAGGUUGGAUGAGAAAAUGACUGUCUCUAUUUAAGUUAAUUAGAAUUUUAUUUUUAAGUAAAAAAGCUUAAGUAAGUAUAAAAGACGAGAAGACCCUAUAGAGUUUUAAUUUAGUUGGGGUGAUUGAAAAAUUUAUUAAACUUUUUUUAGUUUAUUGUCAUUGAUUUAUGUUUAAGUGAUCCUUUUAUAAAGAUUAAAAGAAUAAAUUACCUUAGGGAUAACAGCGUAAUUCUUUUAAAGAGUUCAAAUCGAAAAAAGAGAUUGCGACCUCGAUGUUGGAUUAAAAUAAAAAUUUGGUGUAGGAGCUGAA
rnacentral:rRNA from 1 species